rnacentral:rRNA from 1 species
AAACAUAGCUUUAUGAAUUACAUAUAAAGUGAAACCUGCCCACUGAUUAUAAUUUAACGGCCGCAGUACCUUGACUGUGCUAAGGUAGCAUAAUAAAUUGACUUUUAAUUGAGGCCUUGAAUGAAAGGAUAAAUGGAUAAUUUCUGUCUUUAAUAAAUUACUUAUAAAUUAUUUAAAAGGUGAAAAUCCCUUUAAUAAAAUAUAAUAGACGAGAAGACCCUAGGAGUUUUAAUUUUGUUGGGGCGACAGUAUAGCAUUAAAUUAACCUAUAUAUAAUUAAUUUAAUAUUAAACGAAUAAUUUUAAUAAUAAAUAAACUACCCUAGGGAUAACAGCAUAAUUUUAAGUAAAGUUUGUGACCUCGAUGUUGGACUAGGAACUUUUAAAGCUAACAGCGUUAAUUGGUAGUUCUGUUCGA